AGUGACAGAGUGAGGGAGGUGGUGACUAGUGACAGUCACCACCUCCCUCACUCUGUCACAAGUCACCCCUUCCUUCCCUCACUCUGCCACUAGUCACCCCCUCACUCUAGUGACAGAGUGAGGGAGUGUGUGACUAGUGACAGAGUGAGGGAGGGAAGGGGUGACUAGUGACAGAGUGAGGGAGGUGGUGACCACCUCCCUCACUCUGUCACUGGUCACCCACUCCCUCCCUAACUCUGUCACCAGUCCUCCCCUCACUCUGUUAUUAGUAACCCCUUCCUUCCGUCACUCUGCCACUAGUCACCCCUUGCCUCACUCUGUCACCUGUCACCCCCUCACUCUGUCACUAGUCACCCCCUCACUCUAGUGACAGAGUG